rnacentral:rRNA from 1 species
CUCAGAGUGAACGUUGGCGGCGUGGAUUAGGCAUGCAAGUCGAGCGAUCGUAGCAAUACGGGAGUGGCAAACGGGGUAGGAAUACAUCGGAACGUACCUUUUGGUUGAGAAUAGCGUUGGGAAACUGACGGUAAUACUCAAUAAAGUCGAGAGACCAAAGGUUUACUGCCGGAAGAGCGGCCGAUGCGAUAUUAGGUAGUUGGUGGGGUAAUGGCCUACCAAGCCUGAGAUGUCUAGGGGGUGUGAGAGCAUGGCCCCCACCACUGGGACUGAGAUACUGCCCAGACACCUACGGGUGGCUGCAGUCGAGGAUCUUCGUCAAUGGGCGAAAGCCUGAACGAGCGACGCCGCGUGCGGGAUGAAGGCCCUUGGGUUGUAAACCGCUGUCAGGGGGGAUGAAACCGUAAGGUUGACAGAGCCCCAGAGGAAGCACGGGCUAAGUUCGUG